AGACCUGGCCGAUGCGGGUCAAAGUGUAGUAUCUGUUCUUAUGAGCUUAAUAUCUGAUACAGGUUGUAUUUGGAUCUAAGAUAUUAAGCUUAUUUUUGCAAGUUGGCAGAGUGCUUAAAGCCUGCUUCACCUCUGCCAUGGGUCUGCCUGGUGUUGCACUAUCUUGGGGAUCGGCCCACGUAUG